rnacentral:rRNA from 1 species
UACGUAGGGAGCAAGCGUUGUCCGGAAUCAUUGGGCGUAAAGCGCGCGUAGGUGGCUUCAUAAGUCCGUUGUGAAAGUCAAAGGCUCAACCUUUGAAAGCCGAUGGAUACUGUGGAGCUAGAGUACGGAAGAGGCGAGUGGAACUCCUGGUGUAGCGGUGGAAUGCGCAGAUAUCAGGAAGAACACCAACGGCGAAGGCAGCUCGCUGGGACGGUACUGACACUGAGAGACGAAAGCUAGGGGAGCGAAUGGG